CUACGGGAGGCAGCAGUGGGGAAUUUUCCGCAAUGGGCGAAAGCCUGACGGAGCAAUACCGCGUGAGGGAAGACGGCCUAUGGGUUGUAAACCUCUUUUUUCAGGGAGGAAUUUUGACGUGUACCUGAAGAAUAAGCAUCGGCUAACUCCGUGGCAGCAGCCGCGGUAAGACGGAAGAUGCAAGUGUUAUCCGGAAUCACUGGGCGUAAAGCGUCUGUAGGUGGUUGAACAAGUCAACUGUUAAAUCUUGAGGGUCAACUUCAAAAUCGCAGUCCAAACUGUUUGACUAGAGUAUAGUAGGGGUAAAGGGAAUUUCCAGUGGAGCGGUGAAAUGCGUAGAUAUUGGAAAGAACACCGAUGGCGAAGGCACUUUACUGGGCUAUUACUGACACUCAGAGACGAAAGCUAGGGUAGCAAAUGGGAUUAGAUACCCCAGUAGUCCUAGCCGUAAACAAUGGAUACUAGAUGUUGAACAGAUCGACCUGUGCAGUAUCAAAGCUAACGCGUUAAGUAUCCCGCCUGGGAAGUAUGCUCGCAAGAGUGAAACUCAAA
rnacentral:rRNA from 1 species